GGGAUGUAAUAAGUUGGUCUAAAGUGAAGAAAUUAGUUUUGAACAUUUGACGACACACAGUUAAAGAAACAAUCACUGUGAUUUUGUUUUAUAAAAGAAUAUAGCAUCAGGCUCUAUAUUUAUAAUGUGGCUCCACUUGUAAAACAGAAACAGAAAGAAGAAAUUGUUGUUUCCUAUGCAAGUGAUUUUUAGGUAUCCAAAUUAAGCACGAGUUAAUAUUUCAGAAGUUGAAUUCCUGUUUAUGCUGUUUUCAAAUUUUGUUGAAGAGUUUUCUGAGUUGUAUCUGCAGGGAAGGGUAGUAUUUGUUUGCCUGUGGGAGGGGCUAAGCCUUAUUUAUAUAAGUGGGAAAGCUUUACCAGGAUCGUGUUGGUGAAAAGUUCUUGCAGACGUGAUGCUGUAUUUUUUUUAACUCUCUGGUAGUGCCAUCUUUCAUUUGAGAAGAACCCCGUCGUCCUCAUCCAUAUAGGACUUGUGUUGCUUUAACUCUGUCAUGAUCCUAACUAUAAAGUUAAUUGCAGCGGAAAGAGAUUUAUUACUGGCUCUGUUUUCUUGGUGCCUGACUACCCUGCAGUGUCAGUUUUUAUUGCAGGCACACAUUUAAAUCAGAGGUUCACAAACAGCAGUACUUCAUCCAACGUCACACUUUCCAGAGUUCUUUAACCUUCACGUGUGUGUUUGUCCUCCUUCUGUUCUCUCACUGCUGCUAAUCUCUUUUUUAUCUCAUAACAAACAAACACAGCUAACAACCCGGUUGUAAAUCUAGGUUGUGAACGGGCUCUUUAUGACUAAACUGAAUUGCAAAUCAUUUUUUGUUUCAGUAUGCUGGAUGUACUUGUCAACUGCAAACCAGAAAAACUACAGUUACUUCUCUUUACUUAAACAAUGCAGAAAACUCCACUCUAAAGUUCUUAUUAAAUAACAGUAAUAGCAGUCAUGGUUCAUCAGUAAGUCCCACACAAAAAAAUUAAAUUUCAGUGUUUAUCCUGAAAAAUAAAAAAGUGUUUUGUUUUUUUUUUGUUUUUUUUUUUUUUUAAACAACUUUAAAUAAUCUUUAAAUAUUUUAGUGGAGAAAAUUUUGCUUAUAAUAACAUUUCUUUUUUCGCCAAACAAAAAAAAUGCCAUUUGAAAUAAGUCGUGUUUGCUACGAAGAUAAACCUGGCUGGGCCACAAGACUUUUGUCUCACAGCUGAUAUUCAAAUGCCUUUGUCAGUUUUUACCUGUUCUCUUAAACCCUUCAGGUCACAGCAGAUAAUGAUCGUCAUGUUGGUUUGUUGAAAGUUUUGUCCCUUUUUAUAAUAGGUAGUCCACAGUCGAGUCAUGUGAUUAAUUGUUCAGUACGAUUAUUUACACCUUAAAUUGCUUAAAGCCAUUUUUUGACUUCCAAUCUGGGCUGAAUUGAUUGCAGCAUUCACAUUACAUGUAGUGGGUUUGAUGCGUUUAUUAUUGCAUUCUUUACAUUGUGCUUUGGUUGUGAAUGCUUUAUGAAUUGUGUGGAUGGAAUAAUCUAAAAAUGACAGAAGUAAAUCUAGUGUGACGGAGUUUGCUUCCCUCCUUUUUAAAUCUAAAUACAAUCUGUUAUUGUAAUCAGACAUUUGUUGUUGUACCUAAACAAGAUUUUAAAAAUAGAUAUUUGGGGAAGUUUCCUUUUUUCACCUUAUGAAAACUGUAUUGGUACUUUAUUUUAGUCAAAGUUCUUUUACAACCCCAAAUAUCUUUGACAUGAGAUGCAAAACCAGUGUGGACAAGUUGACAUCUACAUUUCAUUUUUUUUUCCAAAUUAAUGUUCCUCAAAAUUUGAGGAAUGUGUCUCUUUCAAGCACUUUCACAGGCACAGCUCAUCCUGACCGACGUCACCUUUUGUGUCUCAAACAUCUGUUUCCAGGACGUUUCCUCACUCGUUCAUGUGUCAAACCUGGCGGCGGGUUUGGAGGAGCCUGCAGGAGAACGAGUGGGUAUCUUCAUGGAAGAACAACCUCAAAGACGAGUGGCUUUAACGGAUACUUGCAACAUAAAAAUCUAGAAGAAAAACACUUGGCAGAAAGUAGGAGGGAGAGCAUGAAGCACAUUCCUCCCCCCAUAUAAGGAGAAAACUCCCGGAGUCCAUCUCCUCAUCUUUGAACUGCAUAAACACACACAAAUAAAAAAAACAGAAACUACAAACAGACUUUUAAAUCCUGGCCUGUAUUUCAGAGUUCUUGUCUUUCAUGAGGUGUUUUCUACUCGACGGGAAGCCUGGGCAGCCCAUCUGCCCGAUGUUUGCUCCUCUCCCGGGGUUUGGUUGAAAGAGCUGAAACCCCAGGAGGAGGCUGGCUGCUCACGGGGAGAGUCUAGGAAAUAGAAAUAAAGGAGGGGGGUUGGAGAGACGCUGGGUGGUGGUGUUAGUGAAGGUUUGGGAGCUGAAGAGGCAGACAGAUGAAGACAGACGGAGAGUCAGAGAGAGGAGAGCUUACCUUAAAAGGCUCUGUUUGCAGAGAGAGCAGGGUGUGAGGCUGUUUAGAGGUUUACUGCGCUCUGUGACUGUUAAAUUAACAGACUUAUGCAGGUAAUUAAGACGAUUUAUCAAACAGGAUAAACACAGUCUUUAGAAAGAGCCAGAAAAUCAUGACGGAUUUGUGGAAAAAAUGUAAAAAAUAAAAAAAUAAUAAAAAA